ACACGAAUCUGUCAGGGCACAAAUGUACUAACGAGAAUCGAAUUCAUUUUGUUAAAACACCUUUUUUACUUUUAUCAGUCCAUACAACCAAAGUGAAAUUGUUCCAUUUUAGAUAAAUUAUUGCGAUUGCGGGAUGCAAAUCUUAUAAACUACAAAACAAUCACAGUGUGGUCAAACAAGAACGAAUGAACAAAUGAACAGUUUUUUCAAGCACCACUUUUACAGUUAGAAACACCGUCGGUCGGGUCGAGAUAAAACCUGUAUUAUACGUGUUUGGCAAUGUAUAAAACCUGAAAUAUUCUUUUAUUUUAAUCGAUUUCGAAUCAAUUGUUUAUAAAAUACAGAAGGAUUACGAGGAAAUGUUGGAUUUGAAAAACUAAAAGUGUUCGCUGAACAAAGAAUGUGUUAGUGUGAAAUUUGUGUAACAAGAAUGGCGUCCUGUAUGUGGGUGUAAAGUUGUGCAAAAUAUGUUUUAUUAAGCUAUGGUGUGCGUGUUAUAAACAUUAGCGUCGGUCAACUUUCAGUGCACACGUUUGUAUAAGAGAAUAAUAAACCAGGAGAAUGUUGAAAAUACACGUUUCUGUAUUUUCUUCGCAGGAAGUCAAUGCACUUGUGUAGGAGAAGUUACCUAUGAUGUCCUCAAUAUCUCAAUAUAAUUUCUUAUUGCCUUAUGAGUGAUAACACAGUUCAUUUCAAGUUGAGAGAAACUUCGCAUGGAAUCGGUCAAAGUUAUAUGUAUUUAACAAACAAAUAUAAUGUGGACAUUAUGUUCAGUGCCGUAGUGAUAAAAAAGGAUUCGUUCAUAAUGACCUGAUCUUUCAACUGCGAACUGCGAAUUGAUUUCUACGCGCAAAAUGAAGCUACUCACAGGGGAGAUACUGGUGCGAGUUGUUGUGCAGCUCUCAUUGGUGAUAUGGCGUUACGUCGAUAGCUAUAUGAUAAUUAUAAGCGAAAACGAUAUGCCGGAGAAAAUCGUGUUCAACACAUCGGUUUAUAAACUAGGAUCUGAGAGGCAUUACAAAAUCAACGCGCACAAAUCAGCCCAUUUCGUACAUCAUUUACUCAAGGUCGAUCCAUUCAACGGUCAAAUUAGGCUCAGAAAAUCUGCAAAAUGUGACGGAAUAUAUUAUCCGAGUUUGUUCACCUUCUAUGUCGAUUCAACUUCGAAUAGGUUACGCAGUAUAGAUUAUUAUAGUUUGCCACUGCGAAUCUUCAUCACCGGCACCAAUUGCACGGAUGACAAGGUAACAGAAAGCUUUAGGAAACUCUACGAAGAAGACGACACCGGAUAUAAUAGAAAACGGAAGCGGUCUAUCGAAGAUGAUGAUCUCCGUAUGUAUGGACAGUAUUUGGGUAGUAAUUUGCACGACUAUCAUGAUGAGUACCCAUGGUUGACGAAUUCGGUGACAAACUAUUCGUCUUUCCGGGAUGGUGAUAUCCUAUUCGACAGCACCAGGAAAAAUGAAUACCGUCAUAAAUACAUGAUCCGUAAAAAACGUGGAUUAGUUGAAUUGUCGGAUCAACGAAUACAUCGUAAAAUCAACGAUGCUAAACAGUGGAUUUCCGAAACGUAUGCUUCUUAUGCUAUUCACUCGACGGACAGGUGGAACCAAAUUUGUCUCAAAAAGUCCCAAUAUAUAAACUCGAUUAAUUCAUUUUUACCAAAAACAGUUUUGCAAUAUUGCACAGUAAAGUAUUUGGAUGUUAACGACCACCGAUUCAAAAUAGAGCCACAGUCUGGAGAUUUGGUUGCCAGUAAUGAUUUGUGUAUUGCGGAAUCAUGGUGGAAGGUUAUCAUCACUUUCAACGUCAAAUGUAGUUGUAUGGAUAUCGUGGAUGCAGAUCACCGUCUGAAAAUAGUUUAUCAUCACCAAGAAUUGAAUGACACCGAUAUAGCCAAGCGCGUGAAGCGUGAGCUGAGGAAUCAGAGCCCGUACUUUGAACAAGCUCUUUACGUGGCUUCUGUUCUGGAAGAACAAGUUCCUGGCGCUGUGGUUACUACAGUACGAGCCAGAGAUCCAGAGGACUCACCCGUUGGGUAUUCAAUGGUUUCUUUGCUGGAUUCGCGCUCACAAUCUAUGUUUAAGAUCGAUUCACGAACUGGUGUUGUGACCACAGCAGUUAGUUUGGACCGCGAACUGAUGGAUGUGCAUUAUUUUCGUGUAAUUGCAACCGAUGAUAGUUUUCCUCCGCGGUCAGGAACAUCAACUCUACAAGUAAACAUACUGGACUGUAACGAUCAUACGCCGACGUUCGAAGCUGCAGAAUUUCAAGCUAGUAUUCGAGAAGGAUCGAGUGUGGGUUCUACAAUUAUAACUGUUAGAGCAACGGAUCAAGACAUUGGAAAGAAUGCUGACAUCGAAUAUGCCAUCAUAAGUACCAGCGGUAGCAAUGAUGUCACCUCAACACAAGACGAACACAUUUUUCGGAUAGAUGCAAGAACUGGAACAAUUACGACUCGAAGUACUGUGGAUCGCGAGACCAAUGAAUUGUAUACGAUUGUGAUAACGGCAACUGAUAUGGCCACUCCUCAAACUGAACGAAAAUCUGCAACUGCUACUGUGUUGGUGAAAAUUCUAGAUGACAACGAUAAUUAUCCACAAUUCAGCGAAAGGACGUACACCGUACAAGUCAGUGAAGCUCACUGGACGAAUGAAAAUAAUGUUAUUGCUCAUAUUCAAGCUACAGAUGCCGAUCAAGGCAAUAAUGCUGUCAUAAGAUACGCCAUCAUUGGAGGAAACACACAGUCGCAAUUUUCAAUUGAUUCCAUGAAUGGUGAUGUAUCGCUUGUGAAACCUUUGGAUUACGAAAGUGUUAGAAGCUAUCGUUUGGUUAUUAGGGCGCAGGAUGGCGGUAGCCCAUCUCGCAGCAAUACCACACAACUGUUGGUCAAUGUCUUAGAUGCUAACGAUAACGCUCCUCGUUUUUAUACAUCACAAUUCCAAGAAGUGGUACUCGAAAGCGUCCCAGUCGGCUAUAACAUAGUAAGGGUGCAAGCCUACGAUUCGGACGAAGGAAUCAACUCGGAAAUAUCAUACAACAUUAAAGACAGAGAUGACAAUUUGCCACUAGCGGUGGACUCAAAGACUGGUUGGGUACACACCACUAAGUCUUUAGAUCGCGAAGAACAGAGUCGAUACAAUUUUCAAGUGGUUGCCACCGAUGGUGGAAUACCUCCCAAGUCAGCAAGUACAUCGGUCGUUGUAACCAUACAAGAUGUGAACGAUAACGACCCAAUAUUUAACCCAAAGUAUUACGAAGCAACAAUCGCAGAGGAUCAACCUCCUGGAACUCCUAUCACUACUGUUACUGCUACCGAUGCAGAUGAGGAUUCUCGCUUACACUAUGAGAUUACUGCAGGCAACACGAGAGGUCGUUUCACAAUUACUUCCCAAAAUGGGCGUGGACUGAUUACAAUAGCGCAACCCCUGGACUACAAACAGGAACGGCGAUUUGCAUUAACAGUUACAGCCACUGACAGUGGUCAACGAACGGAUACGGCAAUUGUAAAUAUAAACAUAACGGAUGCCAAUAACUAUGCCCCAGUAUUUGAAAAUGCUCCCUAUUCUGCGUCAGUUUUUGAAGAUGCCCCGGUUGGGACCACAGUGCUGGUGGUGUUCGCUAUUGACAGUGAUGUUGGAUUGAAUGCCCAAAUAACUUAUUUCAUGAAUGAUGAAUCGCUCAAUGGAGUGGGAUCAAGUGAACCUUUUAGCAUCAACGCACAAACUGGUGCAAUCAUAACGAACGCUCCGUUGGAUCGUGAGAGUACAAGUGCAUAUCUGUUAACAGUAACUGCGAAGGAUGGUGGAAACCCGUCGCUUAGUGACACAACCGAUGUUGAAAUAAGCGUCACGGAUGUAAAUGACAAUGCACCUCAAUUCAAGAUACCCCUGUAUCAAGCAACAAUUCCAGAGGAUGCCCUAAUUGGAACAUCAGUGGUUCAAAUAUCGGCUAUCGAUAUAGAUAUGGGACUGAAUGGAAGAAUAAAAUAUCUGCUCAGCGAUAAAGAUGUUGAGGACGGAUCGUUUAUAGUUGAUUCCACGUCCGGUAUUAUACGUACAAACAAGGGACUUGAUCGUGAAAGUAUAGCAAUGUAUCAUCUCACAGCCAUCGCAAUGGAUAAAGGAACACCAACGUUGAGUAGCUCCGUCGAGGUCCAGAUUCGUUUAGACGAUGUUAACGAUUCACCACCUACAUUCCCAUCGGAUAAAAUAACAUUGUAUGUACCGGAAAAUAGUCCUGUGGGAUCGGUUGUGGGAGAAAUUCAUGCUCACGAUCCGGAUGAGGGGGUAAACGCCAUAGUGCAUUAUUCUAUCAUUGGUGGUGACGACUCGAAUUCAUUUUCUUUGAUUACAAGACCAGGGUCGGAAAGGGCGCAGAUAUUGACAAUGACGGAAUUGGAUUACGAGUCAAGUAAAAAACGAUUCGAACUUAUAAUACGAGCCGCGAGCCCUCCGUUAAGAAACGAUGUACAUGUGGAAAUUCUAGUAACCGACGUGAACGAUAAUGCUCCCAUUCUCAAAGACUUUCAAGUUAUAUUCAAUAACUUCAAAGAUUGCUUUCCAAGUGGAGUGAUUGGUACAAUACCGGCGUUUGAUGCUGAUGUUACAGACAAGUUGACAUAUCGAAUUCUAUCGGGAAACAACGCUAAUUUAGUCAAAUUGAAUGUUUCCACUGGAGGAUUGACACUGAGCCCACAGCUGAAUACAAAUGUACAAAAGUAUGCCACGAUGGAAGUGUCUGUGACUGAUGGUGUCAAUGAGGCGAAAGCAGUUAUGCAGCUAAUUGUGCGACUUGUUACAGAGGACAUGUUAUUCAACUCUGUAACGGUACGCUUGAACGACAUGACUGAAGAAGCGUUUCUUUCGCCACUGCUCAACUUUUUCCUGGAUGGUCUAGCGGCAAUAAUCCCUUGCCCGAAGGAACACAUAUAUCUGUUUUCCAUCCAAGAUGAUAUUGAUGUAAACUCCAGAAUUCUGAAUGUAAGCUUUUCUGCUCGUCGUCCAGAUAUUGCAUUUGAAGAGUACUAUACCUCUCAGUAUCUUAAAGAGCGAGUUUAUCUAAACCGUGCAAUUUUGGCGAGACUUGCCACCGUAGAAGUGCUGCCUUUCGAUGAUAACUUAUGCGUUAGAGAACCGUGCUUGAACUACGAGCAAUGUUUAUCUGUUCUGAAAUUUGGAAACGCGUCAGGCUUCAUCCAUAGCGACACGGUUCUUUUCCGACCAAUCUAUCCAGUGAAUACAUUUGCCUGCGAAUGCCCUGAUGGCUUUACCGGUAGCAAAGAGCAUUAUCUGUGUGAUACGGAAGUGGACUUGUGUUACUCAGAUCCUUGCCAAAAUGGAGGAAGCUGUAUUCGGAGAGAAAGAGGCUACACCUGCGUGUGCACUGAACAUUUCACUGGACCCAGGUGCGAAACGGAGCUCAAAAGACUGAAACCAUGUGCUAAUGAAUUUUGCGGUGAAGGAUACAGUUGUUUGUCACAUGCAUUGAAUACUCCGCACAAUUCACCGUACACCCAAACGUGUGAGCUGGUUUCGCGAUCGUUUACGAAAAAUUCGUUCCUAACAUUUCCAAGCAUGAAACAACGACAUAGAUUCAAUAUAAAGCUGAGUUUUGCAACGGUACGAGACAAUGGUUUGUUGCUGUAUAAUGGAAGAUAUAACGAGCAACACGAUUUCAUCGCAUUGGAAAUUAUCGAUGGAAGAAUCAUGUUUUCAUUCUCACUAGGUGAUAAAAUCGAGUCCGUGAUGGUUGAUCAAGGCAGAAGUGUAUCGGACGGUGGCUGGCAUUCCGUUGAAAUGAUUUAUUUCAACCGAACGGUGAUGCUCUCGCUGGAUAACUGUGACAAGGCUCUCGCUCUGGCCAGUCUCGGGCCGCGAUGGAAUUGUGCCAAUCAAACGACACUGGUCCUAGAUCGAAGAUGUGCCUCACUAACCGAAUCAUGUCAUCGUUUUCUUGAUCUCACAGGGCCGCUGCAAAUUGGAGGAUUGCCAAAAAUAUCGGCACAUUUUCAAAUUCAAUCGGAGGAUUUCAUUGGAUGUAUAUCGGAUCUUUAUAUUGAUCAUCAAUUCAUUGACCUUAACUCAUUUAUCGCCGACAAUGGAACAGUACCGGGUUGUCCACAAAAGCUAGCAUCAUGUGCAACGGAGCCUUGUUUCAAUGGAGGCACUUGUCGGGAUGGAUGGGGCGAAGGAUGGGAAUGUGAAUGCCCGGAUGGAUUCACCGGUAACGCAUGCCAAGAGUCUGUUAAUUUACCUUGGAGGUUCAAUGGCGAUGGAAUUCUAAGCUUCAAUCCAUUGCUGAGACCCAUUCAACUGCCAUGGAUGACGGCUUUGUCCAUUAGGACAAGACAGAAAGAUGCGUUUUUGAUGCAAAUUCAAGUUGGUCAGAACAGCUCGGCCAUAAUUUCAGUACGGGAUGGCAUUUUGUACUAUACAUAUAAUUCGGAACCCAUGUUCCUAGCGGGAACGAAUCUUGCCGAUGGCAAAUGGCACCGAAUCGAAAUUAAAUGGUUUGGCAGUGAGGUAUCACUUUCUAUCGACUAUGGACAACGAACGGGAGUGUUACCAAUGACGCAAAAAAUACAAGGCUUGUAUGUGGGGCGAAUUCUCAUUGGAGGGUCUGAGAGCAACACAGCAACCUAUGGAAACUAUGGUUUCUAUGAAGGAUGCAUUCAAGAUGUCCGUGUUGGGGGUAGUCAAUCCGUACUAAAUCGACCAACAAUGAGAGAAAAUGUGUUUGAUGGAUGCGAUUCGAAUGCCAAGUGUCCAGCUAGCUGUCCCGAUCAUUCCACCUGUGUCACAGCAUGGAACGAGGCCUAUUGCGAGUGUAACCAUGGGUAUGUUGGGGAAGAAUGUUUUCAAGUGUGUACUGCCAAACCAUGUUCCAACAACGGCCAAUGUCGUAUUGAUGUUUCGUCGAAGAAGGGUUAUCGCUGCGAGUGCAAUAAUACGUCCUACUCUGGGGAGUAUUGUGAAAUAACUGCCCAACAACCAUGUCCGGCUGGAUGGUGGGGUGAACGUAGUUGUGGACCAUGUAAAUGUAAUCUGAAACAGGGUUAUCAUCCCGAUUGUAACAAGAAAACCGGUCAAUGUUAUUGUCGGGAAAAUCACUAUCAACUCCCAAACAAUACUGCGUGCCUGCCGUGUGAGUGCUAUAGUGUUGGUUCGCUUAAGAAAUCUUGCGGUAAUACCGGUCAAUGCGAAUGUCGAGAGGGAGUCAUUGGUAGACGGUGUGAUACCUGUUCUAAUCCUUAUGCAGAGGUAACGCUGAACGGAUGCGAAGUAGUAUACGAUGCUUGUCCGAAAUCCUAUGCAGCAGGUUUGUGGUGGCCUAGGACAACAUUUGGCGAUUUGGCAGUGGAAAGCUGUCCAUUGCCUGCCAGGGGAAAGGCCACGCGCAAAUGUGAUCUCAUCGCAGGAGGUUGGGGCCAACCAGAUAUGUUCAACUGUACUUCGGAGGAAUUUCUGGAUCUACGGAAGCAGCUGGCGCAAAUUGAAACCGAGGAACUAGAAUUGAACACGUUCGUUUCCAUCAAAAUCGCCGAUACAUUACAACGUGCCUGUGAGAGUGUUGGCAUUGCCGAUGAAAAUCGAAGAAAUAUCGUAAGAGAUAAAAAUUUCCCCAUACUCGAAUCUCCCUUGACAUACCAGAAUUCUAUGUGGCUCUCAAGUGAUUAUGAAUUUGAGUACUUCAACGAUAUACAGAACAAUGGUCGUAAUAAACUUUACGGUGCAGAUUUGCUGAUAACGGAAGGAAUAUUGCAUGCGCUGAUAAACUAUGAAAUAUAUCAAAAUGGUCUGAAUUUAUCGCACAGUCAAGAUAAACAUUUUAUCAAAAAUAUAGUAGGCAGCGCUAGUAUUAUAUUGGACUCUCGAUAUGAACAUGAAUGGAAGCGGAUUAUGGAAUUGACACAACGUAAGGCUAACGAUCUGGUUGAGGCAUUCUAUAAAUAUAUGAUUGUGCUGGGUCGUUCGCAACAUGAUACUUAUACGAACCCGUUCGAGAUCGUUCACGAUAAUAUGGUAUUCGGUUUGGAUGUAGUAACCGCAGAAUCUCUUUUUGGAUACGAGCCCCAGCUAUUGACAAGAUAUCAUCCACGGAAUGACAGGGCAAACCAGUUUACAACGGAAAGUGUAAUACUGCCAGAUACGAGUUCUUUUUUACACCAAUCUACGAAUAGGCAGAAAAAUCCUUUGAUAACUUUCCCGAAGUACAACAAUUAUGUGCAAGACAAAAAUAAGUUUGAUCGUUUCAGUAAAAUAAUGGUGCCUCUCGAUAUGCUCGGAAUAAUGCAGCCAGAUGCCAAUGAAGUUACGAAUGUUAUAAGCAAUCAUCGCUCAGUUAUAGCAUAUGCACAGUAUAAAGAUGUAGGGUCAAUUUUCCCUGCAAAUUUUGAUGAAACGAUCACUAGGAGAUGGGGGAUAGAUGUACAGAUUGCGAGUCCUGUAAUCUCAUUCGUUAUUCUUAUCCCGAAGAACAAAAUCAAAGAUAAAGAAAAACUCCAUGCGAUCGGGCCAAGUAUAGCUGAUAGCAAUGACAAGAAGAACAUUGAGUUAUUUCCCACAUCAAUGCAUGAAAAUUCCAACGAAAAUUUGGCAAACGAGAUCAAGAUCUCCAUUCAAGAUCUGAGCGAACAUGAAAGCAAUAUCAACUUGGACGAUCAUCCAGAGAUUAUUGUAAGCGUGGAUGACAAUACAUAUGACGCUCCUAAACCAUCGAAUACGGCAGCAUCCAGUAAUGAAGCCAUGUAUGAAUUUGAACUGCUGCAUCAUUCGAAAAUUAAAAAACGCAGUGUGAUCCAACAAUUGGCAUCUAUCGGCUCCGACGGAAAUGCGCCCGUGAAACCUAUCGAAUACGCACCACUAGGCAAUCCAUACCUUCCACAACCGAUAAAACUGCAAAUAUGGUUGCACAUCCCAAAAAAUUUGUUUAAUUCACGUUCAAAUCCGCAAUGUGUGCGAUGGAAUGCACACCUGAGUGCCUGGACGCGGCUAGGAUGUCAAACAGAAAUUCCCGAUUACGAUCUGCUAUAUGUUAAUGACACUAUCACCAUUAACUGUACUUGCAAUCAAGUAUCGAGUUAUGCUGUAUUGGUGGAUAUUAUUGAUCCCGAAGAUAUCCCCGAGCCAUCUUUGCUUGUGCAGAUUACAUCCUAUUCAGCCUUCUUGCUGUCACUUCCAGUGCUGUUCGGUGUGAUACUUUCUCUGGCUCUACUGCGUGGUUUGCAAACUAACUCCAAUACCGUCCAUCAGAAUCUCUUGUUUUGUAUUUUUGCUGCUGAACUCUUGUUUUUCGUUGGAAUACAAGCGCGUCGAGAGUUAGUGGAGAGCCAGUUUACUUGCAAACUGGUUGCAAUAACACUUCAUUAUUCGUGGCUCGCAGCAUUUGCUUGGACUACGGUGGACUGUGUACAUUUGUAUCGGAUGCUAACAGAGAUGCGGGAUAUCAAUCAUGGACCUAUGGGUUUCUACUAUACAUUAGGCUACGGCGCGCCAGCUCUACUCGUGGGCCUAUCUGUGGGCGUCCGAGUUCACGAAUAUGGCAAUAAUGUUUUUUGUUGGCUGUCUGUAUACGAAUCGGUGAUUUGGUGGCUAGUAGGACCAAUAGUCGCAAUGUGCAUCGUUAACCUAUUGAUACUGUUCUUGUCGGUGAAAGCCGCUUUCACAAUAAAAGACCACAUACUUGGAUUCGGCAAUUUGCGAACAUUAUUGUGGCUUUCGGUGGUUUCGCUGCCAUUAAUGGGAAUUAUGUGGGUACUAGCGGUACUGGCCGCUUCAGAAAAUUCCCAAUUGUUGAAAAUUUUACUAUCAGCAACGGUCACAAUUCAUGCUUUCUUCUCACUUAUCGGUUACUGCAUAAUUAACAAACGUGUCCGAGAGAAUUUGCAUCGAUCUUUACUGCGAUGCAUGGGCAGAAAGGUUCCUCUAUUGGAUUCUUCGCUGGCGGUAAGCAGUAGCACACAAAAUAUUAGUCAGACCCCGAAAACACCUGGGUUUGUAAAUCAAUAUGAAACUGCACGCCGUAACAUCGGUAUAAGCACAUCGAGCACCACUUCUAGGAGCACAGCAAAAACAAGUUCAAGUCCAUAUAGAAGUGAUGGAAAUUUCCGACAUACAUCUACAUCAACCUCAAACUAUAAUUCUAAUAGUGAUGGAGUAUCUUCAUACAUUCGGGGUUAUGAAACUGGAAGAGUACGGAACAUUAAAGAGGGCAUCGACACCUCAUCGCACCACAGGAAAAGUGAGCGACAUCGGAGGGACUCGGAUUCCGGAAGCGAAACAGACGGGAGAAGUCUUGAACUUGCAUCAAGUCAUUCCAGUGAUGACGAAGAAUCUCGUGUUGGACGGAAUAGUAGCACUAAUCGUAGCACAGGCAUUUGCUCGUCAUCAUAUUUACCGAACAUAACAGAGCAUGUAGCAACGACACCUCCUGAUCUGCAUGUUGUUCAGAAUCCACAGUUAUUCCCUAACGUGAACGCCUCACGAUGGUCAAAUCAAAAGAUUGAAUCAUACCUCCCUGGUGCGAAUGGUCGUUGGUCUCAAGAAACUGGAUCCGACAAUGAAAUUCACCAUAGUUUUCCCGAAACGUCUAACCCUUUGCCUAACCCGGAUAUAACGGAUACUUCAUAUCUGCACCAAAAUCGAAUGAAUAUGCCACCCUCGAUACUUGAAAAUAUUCAGGAAACCUACAACUAUUCUAAUCAAGAUUUAAGGAGUGAUAAAUUCACUAACCAUAAUGAUAAAUACACAGACAGCUACAGAGAUUUUGAUGGAAAUCGUCAGCAGAGCACUUUGCCAUACCCUUCUGCGGCAUCCAAUCAGUUUUCUGGAUCUGGCCAGAUUGUGAACCAUAUGCGAUGCUACAACCAAGAAAAUCCAUACGUUUUCAAAGACCCAAUGUAUGAACGUUCAAGAACACUCGGUUACAACUCAGAGGUAGCUUACAUGUCUAAGGACUGUAUAUCCCCCGAUUUGUACAGUCCGCGUGCCGAUAAUCAUGGAUCGUUCAAAUCCAGUGUUCAGUCGCUCUUGAAGAACGAUUAUCAACGUCACAAACACGGAGCCGAGUCAGAUCGUAUGUCCGAGGGUUCUGAUAAGAAUCCAUAUAAUUUUCCCUAUACGGCUGAAGAGGAUCACUCGAACGCAAUGAGACCAAACGAAGCAGCUUCUAGAAUACAACCGAUGGCUCCUCUUUCCAAUAUCAAAGACAAUAAUGAAUGGUGUUGGGAUCGCCUAAAGAGCCUCGACUAAUGACCAUAGAAAAGAGGUUAUAUUUCAACUAAUAGCUACAAAUCUGGAGAAGGUCAGCUGACGCAGAAGAAACAACUGUCUAACACCGCAGGAUAUUUUUAAUCCUGUUGAAAAUUGUACAAAACGAAAUGUCUACUUUUCCCGAAAUAUUGAUUUAUAACUAUAGCAUUUUUAGAGUAAGGACGAAAAUUUUAAUACAAUGUAUUUAUCUAGGGAAUUAUAAUGCUGCCGAUUUUUACUGUAAAUAAAUAUAAAGCUAAGAGGAUGAUUUGGUGCACUUAAGAAUUGAAAAAAAAUGAACAACGCGCUUCGAUGAAUGAUGCUUUUAGCUUUGUUAGAUAGUUUAGGGGAGAAGAACUGCUAGAUUUGAUUGAGUAGCUAAAUUAUUAGUUUGAAAAAGCAAAAGUCUGAAAUAUAUGGAAGCAAAAUGACGGAAAUCGUAGGUUUGAUAGCGAUAAGCGAAAAUUUGAAAUAUUUGCCUUAAUGUAACUCUAAACAUCUAUUCAAAUCGGUUGCAAGCGAGAAGGAUCUUAGUUCUAUAACGAUGUCUACAAAAAUUGAAGAUCAAGAUGGCGAAACAGAUAUUUGAAUUGAAACAAAAACUCUUAACAUUUUGAUUGUCAAUGAUGGAAUCGAGUUUUUAGGGAUAAAAGUUUUGGUACCCACGUUAUUUUUAUUUGAGUUUUAAAAAGAUCAUCAGAAGAUUUUUUUGAUUGUAUUAUUUCCAGUUGAAUUUUGGAUAUUUUCUUUAAAAGAAACAUUUCUUUUGAAAAGAAAGUAAAAUUUACCUUGCAUUCCAUUUUAAAAAUGAAUCAACUUUGGAUAUUUUUUCAUCUAUGAGCUAGAGACUCAUAAAUUGACAAAUUCCUGAAAUCAUCAAAAAAUCACAAACUUCACUUCACAAACUUUAAUCAGUAUUUUUGUCACUCGACCAGUGAAACAUAAUCCAGAACUCAAGUCAUACAACAACAAUUUCGACUUUAUGUUAAAAACAUAACAUUAAAUAUUUUAUUUAAUCCACAUGAAUGUUUGAAAUAGUUUUAUAUUAUAUUAAAGAUACCAUUCCCAUUUGAUUGAGCUGUACUGAAAUGGAUUGAUCAUCCAAAUACUUUGGAUAUCGCAUAUUCUGGACUAUUUUGAGGCAAAAUGAGAUUCUGUGUGCUGCUGUCGUAUAUACUCAACAAAAAAUGACUGUGUUUACAUAUGGUAUGAACCUAAUUUUGAAUAUAUUUCGUCGUUUUGCCAACACUUUUUUUUUAACAUUGUUUUAAGUAUUUUAUAUGAAUUUACAUUUAUGUAAUCAUUAAAGGCUGGGCUAUUGGUGCCAUAAUCCACCAGAAGAAACAUCACAUUCCACUUUAUUCUAUUUGAAUAUUAAUAAAUGCCUUCAUAUACUCGAAAACUUAACACAGUCCAUGACAUUAUUUUAGGCUUUUUUACAAAAAUGUAUUUAUGUUAAGUAUUAAGUCAUGUGUGCAUUCCGAAAAACAUAUUCUGAUUUUUACAGAACGUUUGUGAUCAUAUAAUAUAUAUCUAUAAGCUAUUUAUAUAAAUGCAUUUCAUGCGAGAACAAAGUGAGAUUAUACAAAUAUUCACAUAGGUUUAUGUACUGUCGUGGAUCAAAAUAGGACUUAUUAUAAACAAUUAAAUGUAAUAUUUUAAUGUAAUUUUGAGAAAAAAUAAAAUAUAUAAGAACGACAAA